UCCAACAAAAACCUCUAUAGUGUCACCUUUCUCUCGAUUUAUCAAGUUUUCCCUGGAUUUUUCCAUGUCCAUUAAUAUCGAUAUCUUCCUAUUUUCGAUUAUUUUGCUCAAGUUCGAUGUUCCAUGUUCAAUGAUUCAAUGAUUAAUUACUGAUUCAUUUCGAUGCUUUAAUGGCCUUCAGUUCAAUACAUUUCAUGGUGUAAUAGUCUCUGAAGAUCUCCAUUUUGGGUAGAGAUGGGUGAGGAGGCUAAAGUUAUUGUCCCAAAGUCUCUUUUGAAGAAGCAUAAAAGAGAGGAAGAGUGGGCUUUGGCCUCAAAAGAGUUGCUCAAUUCCGAGAAGAAGAAGCGUGCUGAAAACAGGAAGCAACUCAAUGUGCAAGGAAUACUCUGACCAGUUGUUUCAAUACUGCAGGACUAAGGAGAUAUGUGAUGCAAAACUAAGGCUGAAUAGGGCCUUGGUGAUGCAAUGAUUAUUGUUGUACGGGUAUUUGGCUUGCUACUCUUCUCAGAAACUACAGAUGUUAUCAAAAAGAACUCUAAAUGAUCACAAGCAGAACCAAGAAACGACUUCUUGAACUGGUGGUGAUGAUGAUCAGUGAUUAUCUCGACUCCUUUCUCUAAUACACAAACUAGUCUAUCACGUUACAAAGUCUUCCAGACUUUGAUUCCAGGUUCCUUUAGAGAAUUCAAAGUUGCUCCACAACUCUUUAUACUCCAAGGACAAGGGUGCUCCACAACCUUGAUGAAGUUUGCAAACAAACUUCAGAAAACAGAAAAAACUUUUCUGAAUUACCUCUUGUAUUAUUAUGAAUGAUCAAAACUCCAAAACUGAUUAUUACACAAGUGAGACUCCCCUUAUAUAGAGAUCUCAACAAACUUAACGGCUAAAAUUUCACAAGUCUAUUUUAAAACUCACGUGCUAAUACAUGAGCGCUCAAAACAGAAAACAGAAAGCAAUAAAAACUUAAACAAAUUCUGAUUCUGAAAACUGUCGACCAGCCCUCCUUCAGCAUGGAUUUUAGAGUUCCACGUGGAUUGUUAGCAUGGUCCUAGGCCCUUGAUGGUUUGGCCCGUGUGGUGAGAUGGUGUCCCAGGCUUUAUCAGGGUCCAGAUGAUCCAGGUCUGAACUCAGGAGACUCAGCAAGGUCUGAUGGUUGACAGAAUGCUCUGUAUCCUUGAUUCUACUGUCUGUUUGUCUUAUCAUGCCCAUGAUGCUGUUCUUCGAUGUUGGCUAGGCUUCUUUGGACCCAAUCUGUGUUUUUGGGCUUAUUCUCAACUCUUGAAAGGCAUCAAGGGUCAGUUUCUGUCCUUCAUGAGCAUUUGGCGUAGAUCUUAAGUCAGAUACACUGUUUUGUUCUUGCACACUGUUUGUAUGGGCUUUAUCACUUGAAACAUUUGUUUCAAUAUGAGAUCAGUGUACAUACACUUCUCCAACAAAAAGAGAGCGGGGAAGGGGACAACUCCAUAUUUGGUUGAUUUAUGUGCUCAGAAUGCGAUAGAUACAUUCGGUACAUAGGCAAUGUUGGUGCUACAAAUUCACAUCUUCUUGAUCGUAUUUUACCCCAUUGUACAGUGGAGCAAUUGAUGCAUAAGAAUGCUAUAGAUGUAAGAUGACAAAUCUUUUCUUGACCUCUUGUGUGUUCUUUUUUCAUAUGAUCAUUUGAUGGAUGUAUAUAAAUACAUUAAUUGGUGUAAA